UACGGAGGAUGCGAGCGUUAUCCGGAUUUAUUGGGUUUAAAGGGUGCGCAGGCGGCCUGUUAAGUCAGCGGUAAAAGCCCGGGGCUCAACCCCGGCGAGCCGUUGAAACUGGCUGUCUUGAGAUGUCGAGAGGUAUGCGGAAUGCGCAGUGUAGCGGUGAAAUGCUUAGAUAUUGCGCAGAACCCCGAUUGCGAAGGCAGCAUGCCGGCUUCCGACUGACGCUGAAGCACGAAAGCGUGGGGAUCGAACAGG
rnacentral:rRNA from 1 species